UGCAACCCGCCUGCGUGAAGUUGGAAUCGCUAGUAAUCGCGGAUCAGCAUGCCGCGGUGAAUACGUUCCCGGGCCUUGUACACACCGCCCGUCACACCAUGAGAGUCGGAACACCCGAAGUCCGUAGCCUAACCGCGAAGGGGGGCGCGGCCGAAGGUGGGUUCGAUAAUUGGGGUGAAGUCGUAACAAGGUAGC
rnacentral:rRNA from 1 species